rnacentral:rRNA from 1 species
AGAGUUUGAUCCUGGCUCAGGAUGAACGCUGGCGGCGUGCUUAACACAUGCAAGUCGAACGAUCCUUCGGGAUAGUGGCGGACGGGUGAGUAACGCGUGGGAAUCUGCCCUCAGGAGGGGGAUAACGGCUGGAAACGGCUGCUAAUACCCCAUAUGCCGAGAGGUGAAAUGAAUUUCGCCUGAGGAUGAGCCCGCGUCUGAUUAGCUAGUUGGUGGGGUAAAGGCCUACCAAGGCGACGAUCAGUAGCUGGUCUGAGAGGAUGAUCAGCCACACUGGGACUGAGACACGGCCCAGACUCCUACGGGAGGCAGCAGUGGGGAAUUUUCCGCAAUGGGCGAAAGCCUGACGGAGCAACGCCGCGUGAGGGAUGAAGGCCUCUGGGCUGUAAACCUCUUUUCUCAAGGAAGAAGAACUGACGGUACUUGAGGAAUAAGCCACGGCUAAUUCCGUGCCAGCAGCCGCGGUAAUACGGGAGUGGCAAGCGUUAUCCGGAAUUAUUGGGCGUAAAGCGUCCGCAGGCGGCCUUGUAAGUCUGUUGUUAAAGCGUGGAGCUCAACUCCAUUUAAGCAAUGGAAACUACAAGGCUGGAGUGUGGUAGGGGCAGAGGGAAUUCCCGGUGUAGCGGUGAAAUGCGUAGAUAUCGGGAAGGACACCAGUGGCGAAGGCGCUCUGCUGGGCCAUAACUGACGCUCAUGGACGAAAGCCAGGGGAGCGAAAGGGAUUAGAUACCCCUGUAGUCCUGGCCGUAAACGAUGAACACUAGGUGUCGGGGGAAUCGACCCCCUCGGUGUCGUAGCCAACGCGUUAAGUGUUCCGCCUGGGGAGUACGCACGCAAGUGUGAAACUCAAAGGAAUUGACGGGGGCCCGCACAAGCGGUGGAGUAUGUGGUUUAAUUCGAUGCAACGCGAAGAACCUUACCAGGGUUUGACAUCCUGCGAAUCCCUUGGAAACGAGGGAGUGCCUUCGGGAGCGCAGUGACAGGUGGUGCAUGGCUGUCGUCAGCUCGUGUCGUGAGAUGUUGGGUUAAGUCCCGCAACGAGCGCAACCCACGUCUUUAGUUGCCAGCAUUCAGUUGGGCACUCUAGAGAGACCGCCGGUGAUAAACCGGAGGAAGGUGUGGAUGACGUCAAGUCAUCAUGCCCCUUACAUCCUGGGCUACACACGUACUACAAUGCUACGGACAAAGGGCAGCAAGCUCGCGAGAGUUAGCAAAUCCCAUAAACCGUGGCUCAGUUCAGAUCGUAGGCUGCAACUCGCCUACGUGAAGGAGGAAUCGCUAGUAAUCGCAGGUCAGCAUACUGCGGUGAAUACGUUCCCGGGCCUUGUACACACCGCCCGUCACACCAUGGAAGUUGGCCAUGCCCGAAGUCGUUACUCCAACCCUUGUGGAGGAGGACGCCGAAGGUGGGGCUGAUGACUGGGGUGAAGUCGUAACAAGGUA